AAAGUCGUAAUAAGGUCUUUAUUGGUGAACUAGCGGAGGGAUUAUUACAGAGUUGUAAAACUCUUAACCCUGUGUGAACGAACUGCAGUAGUUGCUUUGGCGGACUGCCCCUGUGGUGGCCUGCCGAAGGAAUACAAACUCUUGUUAAUGUUGGUAUCUCUGAGUGACUUUAUAAUAAGUUAAAACUUUUAAUAACGGAUCUUUUAGUUCUG
rnacentral:misc_RNA from 1 species